rnacentral:rRNA from 1 species
AGUGAACGCUGGCGGUAGGCCUAACACAUGCAAGUCGAACGGCAGCACAGUAAGAGCUUGCUCUUACGGGUGGCGAGUGGCGGACGGGUGAGGAAUACAUCGGAAUCUACUUUUUCGUGGGGGAUAACGUAAGGAAACUUACGCUAAUACCGCAUACGACCUACGGGUGAAAGCAGGGGAUCUUCGGACCUUGCGCGAUUGAAUGAGCCGAUGUCGGAUUAGCUAGUUGGCGGGGUAAAGGCCCACCAAGGCGACGAUCCGUAGCUGGUCUGAGAGGAUGAUCAGCCACACUGGAACUGAGACACGGUCCAGACUCCUACGGGAGGCAGCAGUGGGGAAUAUUGGACAAUGGGCGCAAGCCUGAUCCAGCCAUACCGCGUGGGUGAAGAAGGCCUUCGGGUUGUAAAGCCCUUUUGUUGGGAAAGAAAAGCGGCAGGUUAAUACCCCGCUGUUCUGACGGUACCCAAAGAAUAAGCACCGGCUAACUUCGUG